rnacentral:rRNA from 1 species
UACGUGGGGGGCAAGCGUUGUCCGGAAUCAUUGGGCGUAAAGCGCGCGUAGGCGGCCCGGUAAGUCCGUUGUGAAAGUCAAAGGCUCAACCUUUGAACGCCGAUGGAUACUGCCGGGCUAGAGUCCGGAAGAGGCGAGUGGAAUUCCUGGUGUAGCGGUGGAAUGCGCAGAUAUCAGGAGGAACACCAAUAGCGAAGGCAGCGCGCUGGGACGGUACUGACGCUGAGGCGCGAAAGCGUGGGGAGCGAACAGG